rnacentral:rRNA from 1 species
CAAUAGCGUAUAUUAAAGUUGUUGCAGUUAAAAAGCUCGUAGUUGGAUUUCGGGGCAGCCUGGCUGGUCCGCCGCAAGGCGAGUACUGGUCAGCCGCCCUUCCUCUCGAAAGCCCCGACUGCUCUUUAUUGCAGUGGUCGGGUAGUUCGGGACGUUUACUUUGAAAAAAUUAGAGUGUUCAAGGCAGGCCUACGCCUGAAUACAUUAGCAUGGAAUAAUGGAAGAGGACCUCGGUCCUAUUUUGUUGGUUUCCAGGACCGAAGUAAUGAUUAAGAGGGACAGUUGGGGGCAUUCGUAUUUAAUUGUCAGAGGUGAAAUUCUCGGAUUUACGAAAGACGAACAACUGCGAAAGCAUUUGCCAAGGAUGUUUUCAUUAA